AAGACUUUGAAGAAUUUUCUCAAAGUAUUUUGUCACAAGUCAAGCAACCGCAGUGUGAAGCAACAAUAAACCAAGAUGUGGAUGUGGAUAGUCCAGUUGUUGAUCAGUCAGUUAUAGAUGUACUACAAGCCAGCCAGGCCAGAAAUUCAUCUGGAGAGUUGGAUAAAGAAUUGGUGGAGAUUUUAAUGAGUUU